AAUCAACGCUGGCGGCGUGCCUCAGACAUGCAAGUCGAACGAUUAAGACUUCCUUCGGGAAGUGCAUAAAGUGGCGCACGGGUGAGUAACACGUAAGUAAUCUACCUUCGAGUGGGGAAUAACGUUCGGAAACGAACGCUAAUACCGCAUAAUGCAGCGGCAUCGUAAGAUGACAGUUGUUAAAGGAGCAAUUCGCUUGAAGAGGAGCUUGCGGCAGAUUAGCUAGUUGGUAAGGUAAUGGCUUACCAAGGCUACGAUCUGUAUCCGGUCUAAGAGGACGGUCGGACACACUGACACUGAAUAACGGGUCAGACUCCUACGGGAGGCAGCAGUCGGGAAUUUUGGGCAAUGGGGGAAACCCUGACCCAGCAACGCCGCGUGAAGGAUGAAGUAUUUCGGUAUGUAAACUUCGAAAGAAUAGGAAGAAUCAAUGACGGUACUAUUUAUAAGGUCCGGCUAACUACGUGCCAGCAGCCGCGGUAAUACGUAGGGACCAAGCGUUGUUCGGAUUUACUGGGCGUAAAGGGCGCGUAGGCGGCGCGGUAAGUCACUUGUGAAACCUCUGAGCUCAACUCAGAACGGCCAAGUGAUACUGCAGUGCUAGAGUGCAGAAGGGGCAAUCGGAAUUCUUGGU
rnacentral:rRNA from 1 species